rnacentral:piRNA from 1 species
UGUGAUGUCAGGCGGGUUUCGGG